rnacentral:sRNA from 1 species
AAGGUCUGUCGCGGACCGCCCCCCAUCCCCUGGGGCCGGUCUCUGGUACGGAGCCCCUCCCCAGGCUUCCGUACCCUGGCCCCGCCGAGCCCCCCCUGCUCUGCGGGGCUUUUUU